GGUUGAUCCUGCCAGUAGCAUAUGCUUGUUUUAAAGAUUAAGCCAUGCAUGCGUAAGUAUAGACACUUCUAUACCGUCGAAACUGCGAACAGCUCAUUACAUCAGUUAUAAUUUCUUUGAAGAUUGAAUUUCUACAUGGAUACCCGUAGAAAAGCUAGAGCUAAUACAUGCGUAAUGCCCCGACUUUUGUGGAAGGGGUGUGUUUAUUAGAUUCAAACCUACUGGGUUGUUCUUCAACCCGUUUUGGUGAUUCAUGGUAACUGUUUCGGAUCUCUUCUCUCGUGUUACAGCG
rnacentral:rRNA from 1 species